UACGUAGGGAGCAAGCGUUGUCCGGAAUCAUUGGGCGUAAAGCGCGCGUAGGUGGCUUCGUAAGUCCGUUGUGAAAGUCAAAGGCUCAACCUUUGAAAGCCGAUGGAUACUGCGGAGCUAGAGUACGGAAGAGGCGAGUGGAAUUCCUGGUGUAGCGGUGGAAUGCGCAGAUAUCAGGAGGAACACCGGUGGCGAAGGCGGCCUUCUGGGCCUGUUCUGACGCUGAGGAGCGAAAGCGUGGGGAGCAAACAGG
rnacentral:rRNA from 1 species